AGGGAAUCUUCCACAAUGGACGAAAGUCUGAUGGAGCAACGCCGCGUGAGUGAUGAAGGGUUUCGGCUCGUAAAACUCUGUUGUUGGAGAAGAACAGGUGUGAGAGUAACUGUUCACAUCUUGACGAUAUCCAACCAGAAAGCCACGGCUAACUACGUGCCAGCAGCCGCGGUAAUACGUAGGUGGCAAGCGUUGUCCGGAUUUAUUGGGCGUAAAGCGAGCGCAGGCGGUUUCUUAGGUCUGAUGUGAAAGCCUUCGGCUUAACCGGAGAAGUGCAUCGGAAACCAGGAGACUUGAGUGCAGAAGAGGACAGUGGAACUCCAUGUGUAGCGGUGAAAUGCGUAGAUAUAUGGAAGAACACCAGUGGCGAAGGCGGCUGUCUGGUCUGUAACUGACGCUGAGGCUCGAAAGCAUGGGUAGCGAAC
rnacentral:rRNA from 1 species